CCUACGGGUGGCAGCAGUGAGGAAUAUUGGUCAAUGGACGAGAGUCUGAACCAGCCAAGUAGCGUGAAGGAUGACUGCCCUAUGGGUUGUAAACUUCUUUUAUAUGGGGAUAAAAUGUUCCACGUGUGGACUUUUGUAUGUACCAUAUGAAUAAGAGUCGGCUAACUCCGUUCCCGCAGCCGAGGUAAUGCGGAGGGGCCGAUCGUUAUCCGGAUUUAUUGGGUUUGAAGGGAGCGUAGGUGGGUUGUUAAGUCAGUUGUGAAAGUUUGCGGCUCAACCGUAAAAUUGCAGUUGAAACUGGCAGUCUUGAGUACAGUAGAGGUGGGCGGAAUUCGUGGUGUAGCGGUGAAAUGCUUAGAUAUCAAGAAGAACUCCGAUUGCGAAGGCAGCUCACUGGACUGCAACUGACACUGAGGCUCGAAAGUGUGGGUAUCAAACAGGAUUAGAUACCCGAGUAGUC
rnacentral:rRNA from 1 species